rnacentral:tRNA from 1 species
GCCACAGUGGUCUAGCGGUUAGAACGCUGGCCUUGUAAUCCUGGGGUCUCGGGUUUGAUUCCCGGCGGUGCCC